GAUGAACGCUGGCGGCGUGCCUAAUACAUGCAAGUCGAGCGAACAGACGAGGAGCUUGCUCCUCUGACGUUAGCGGCGGACGGGUGAGUAACACGUGGAUAACCUACCUAUAAGACUGGGAUAACUUCGGGAAACCGGAGCUAAUACCGGAUAAUAUAUUGAACCGCAUGGUUCAAUAGUGAAAGACGGUUUUGCUGUCACUUAUAGAUGGAUCCGCGCCGCAUUAGCUAGUUGGUAAGGUAACGGCUUACCAAGGCAACGAUGCGUAGCCGACCUGAGAGGGGGAGCGGCCACACUGGAACUGAGACACGGUCCAGACUCCUACGGGAGGCAGCAGUAGGGAAUCUUCCGCAAUGGGCGAAAGCCUGACGGAGCAACGCCGAGUGAGUGAUGAAGGUCUUCGGAUCGUAAAACACUGUUAUUAGGGAAGAACAAAUGUGUAAGUAACUAUGCACGUCUUGACGGUACCUAAUCAGAAAGCCACGGCUAACUACGUG
rnacentral:rRNA from 1 species